UACGGAGGGAGCUAGCGUUGUUCGGAAUUACUGGGCGUAAAGCGCACGUAGGCGGCUUUGUAAGUUAGAGGUGAAAGCCUGGGGCUCAACUCCAGAACUGCCUUUAAAACUGCAUCGCUUGAAUCCAGGAGAGGUGAGUGGAAUUCCGAGUGUAGAGGUGAAAUUCGUAGAUAUUCGGAAGAACACCAGUGGCGAAGGCGACUCGCUGGACAGGUAUUGACGCUGAGGUGCGAAAGCGUGGGGAGCAAACAGG
rnacentral:rRNA from 1 species